AAAGGAAUAGACGGGGGCCCGCACAAGCAGCGGAGCAUGUGGUUUAAUUCGAAGCAACGCGAAGAACCUUACCAGGUCUUGACAUCCUUUGACCGUCUAAGAGAUUAGACUUUCCUUCGGGACAAAGAGACAGGUGGUGCAUGGUUGUCGUCAGCUCGUGUCGUGAGAUGUUGGGUUAAGUCCCGCAACGAGCGCAACCCUUGUGUUUAGUUACUAACAUUCAGUUGAGGACUCUAGACAGACUGCCCUUGAAAGAGGGAGGAAGGUGGGGACGACGUCAAAUCAUCAUGCCCCUUACGACCUGGGCUACACACGUGCUACAAUGGUCUGUACAAAGGGUUGCGAAGCAGUGAUGCCAAGCUAAUCUCAAAAAGCAGAUCUCAGUUCGGAUUGCAGGCUGCAACUCGCCUGCAUGAAGUCGGAGUUGCUAGUAAUCGCGAAUCAGAAUGUCGCGGUGAAUGCGUUCCCGGGCCUUGUACACACCGCCCGU
rnacentral:rRNA from 1 species